rnacentral:rRNA from 1 species
CUCAGGAUGAACGCUAGCGGCAGGCUUAACACAUGCAAGUCGAGGGGUAUAGUUCUUCGGAACUAGAGACCGGCGCACGGGUGCGUAACGCGUAUGCAAUCACCUUUUACAGAGGGAUAGCCCAGAGAAAUUUGGAUUAAUACCUCAUAGUAUGUGAGAAUCGCAUGAUUUCACAUUAAAGUUCCAACGGUAAAAGAUGAGCAUGCGUCCCAUUAGCUAGAUGGUAAGGUAACGGCUUACCAUGGCGACGAUGGGUAGGGGUCCUGAGAGGGAGAUCCCCCACACUGGUACUGAGACACGGACCAGACUCCUACGGGAGGCAGCAGUGAGGAAUAUUGGACAAUGGGCGCAAGCCUGAUCCAGCCAUGCCGCGUGCAGGAUGACGGUCCUAUGGAUUGUAAACUGCUUUUGUACAGGAAGAAACACUCCCUCGUGAGGGAGCUUGACGGUACUGUAAGAAUAAGGAUCGGCUAACUCCGUG